rnacentral:rRNA from 1 species
UACGUAGGGGGCUAGCGUUGUCCGGAAUCAUUGGGCGUAAAGCGCGUGUAGGCGGUCCGGUAAGUCCGCUGUGAAAGUCGGGGGCUCAACCCUCGGAUGCCGGUGGAUACUGUCGGGCUUGAGUACGGAAGAGGCGAGUGGAAUUCCUGGUGGUAGCGGUGAAAUGCGCAGAUAUCAGGAGGAACACCAAUUGCGAAGGCAGCUCGCUGGGACGUUACUGACGCUGGAGACGCGAAAGCGUGGGGAGCAAACAGGAUUAGAAACCC